rnacentral:rRNA from 1 species
AGCUUGCUCUUAUGAAGUUAGCGGCGGACGGGUGAGUAACACGUGGGUAACCUGCCCAUAAGACUGGGAUAACUCCGGGAAACCGGGGCUAAUACCGGAUAACAUUUUGAACCGCAUGGUUCGAAAUUGAAAGGCGGCUUCGGCUGUCACUUAUGGAUGGACCCGCGUCGCAUUAGCUAGUUGGUGAGGUAACGGCUCACCAAGGCAACGAUGCGUAGCCGACCUGAGAGGGUGAUCGGCCACACUGGGACUGAGACACGGCCCAGACUCCUACGGGAGGCAGCAGUGGGG